rnacentral:rRNA from 1 species
CAGUAGCCGCGGUAAUACGUAGGGUGCGAGCGUUAAUCGGAAUUACUGGGCGUAAAGCGUGCGCAGGCGGUUCGUUAAGACAGAUGUGAAAUCCCCGGGCUUAACCUGGGAACUGCAUUUGUGACUGACGGGCUAGAGUAUGGCAGAGGGGGGUAGAAUUCCACGUGUAGCAGUGAAAUGCGUAGAGAUGUGGAGGAAUACCGAUGGCGAAGGCAGCCCCCUGGGCCAAUACUGACGCUCAUGCACGAAAGCGUGGGGAGCAAACGGGAUUAGAUACCCCCGUAGUCCCUGUCUCUUAUAC